rnacentral:misc_RNA from 1 species
UCCGGCUUUCACCGGCUGUCUCUCCAGAGUGCCCACCCGAAGUGCUGGCAACUGGAGAUAAGGGUUGCGCUCGUUGCGGGACUGAACCCAACAUCUCACGACACGAGCUGACGACAACCAUGCACCACCUGUCACCGCUGUCCCCCGAAGGGGAAAGGCGUAUCUCUACACCGGUCAGCGGGAUGUCAAGCCCUGGUAAGGUUCUUCGCGUUGCUUCGAAUUAAACCACAUGCUCCACCGCUUGUGCGGGCCCCCGUCAAUUCCUUUGAGUUUCAGUCUUGCGACCGUACUCCCCAGGCGGAGUGCUUAUUGGGUUACCUGCGGCACUGAGAAGUCAAUCUUCCCAACACCUAGCACUCAUCGUUUACGGCGUGGACUAC